UACGUAGGGUGCAAGCGUUAAUCGGAAUUACUGGGCGUAAAGCGCGCGCAGGCGGUCCUUCAAGUCAGAGGUGAAAGCCCAGAGCUCAACUCUGGAACGGCCUUUGAGACUAGAGGACUUGGGUACGGGAGAGGUGAGUGGAAUUCCGAGUGUAGAGGUGAAAUGCGUAGAUAUCGGAAGGAACAUCAGUGGCGAAAGCGGCUUCCUGGACCAGCACCGACGUUCAGGCACGAAAGCGUGGGGAGCAAACAGG
rnacentral:rRNA from 1 species